rnacentral:rRNA from 1 species
UACGGGGGGAGCAAGCGUUGUCCGGAUUUACUGGGCGUAAAGGGCGCGUAGGUGGACAGUUUAGUCAGAGGUGAAAGCCCAGGGCUCAACCUUGGAAUUGCCUUUGAUACUGGCUGUCUUGAGUUCGGGAGAGGUGAGUGGAAUGCCGAGUGUAGAGGUGAAAUUCGUAGAUAUUCGGCGGAACACCAGUGGCGAAGGCGACUCACUGGCCCGAUACUGACGCUGAGGCGCGAAAGCGUGGGGAGCAAACAGG